rnacentral:SRP_RNA from 1 species
GCCCUAAAAAAAUGACAAAGUUUUGGGAGGCUGAGGCUGGAGGAUCACUUGAGUCUAGGAGUUCUGGGCUGUAGUGUGCUAUGCCAAUUGGUGUCUGCACUAAGUUUGGCAUCAAUAUGGUGACCUCCCGGCAGUGAGGGACCACCAGGGAGUGGGGGACCACCAGGUUGCCUAAAGAGGCGUGAACUGGCCUAGGUUGGAAACGGAGCAGGUCAAAACUCCCGUGAUGAUCAGAAGUGGGAUUGCGCCUGUGAAUAGCCACUGCACUCCAGCCUGGGCAACAUAGCAAGACCUCGUCUCU